rnacentral:rRNA from 1 species
CACCGGCGGCUCGAGUGGUGGCAACUUUUAUUGGGUCUAAAGCGUCCGUAGCCGGCUUGGCAAGUCCCCUGGGAAAUCUGGCGGCUUAACCGUCAGGCGUCCAGAGGAUACUGCCAGGCUUGGGACCGGGAGAGGUGAGAGGUACCUCAGGGGUAGGGGUGAAAUCGUGUGAUCCCUGAGGGACCACCAGUGGCGAAGGCGUCUCACUAGAACGGGUCCGACGGUCAGGGACGAAAGCUGGGGGCACGAACCGG